CCUACGGGAGGCAGCAGUGGGGAAUUUUGGACAAUGGGCGCAAGCCUGAUCCAGCCAUGCCGCGUGCGGGAAGAAGGCCUUCGGGUUGUAAACCGCUUUUGUCAGGGAAGAAAUCCCUUGAGCUAAUACCUCGGGGGGAUGACGGUACCUGAAGAAUAAGCACCGGCUAACUACGUGCCAGCAGCCGCGGUAAUACGUAGGGUGCAAGCGUUAAUCGGAAUUACUGGGCGUAAAGCGUGCGCAGGCGGUUAUGUAAGACAGGUGUGAAAUCCCCGGGCUUAACCUGGGAACUGCACUUGUGACUGCAUAGCUUGAGUGCGGCAGAGGGGGAUGGAAUUCCGCGUGUAGCAGUGAAAUGCGUAGAUAUGCGGAGGAACACCGAUGGCGAAGGCAAUCCCCUGGGCCUGCACUGACGCUCAUGCACGAAAGCGUGGGGAGCAAACAGGAUUAGAUACCCUGGUAGUCCACGCCCUAAACGAUGUCAACUGGUUGUUGGACGGCUUGCUGUUCAGUAACGUAGCUAACGCGUGAAGUUGACCGCCUGGGGGAGGUACGGCCGCGAGGUUAGAAACGUACGAAAGGAAAGUUAGUACGGCGUGAGACGUAGACCGACGGACGACGACGAGGGGAGGAGG
rnacentral:rRNA from 1 species